UUGACCGAAACGCGCUUCUACCAAAUACAGUAUAAAUAACUAGGUAGUCUUGAUGCCUUUCCUAUUUUAUUUUAUUUUUUUCCUCUUUCACACAAAAGAAAAUGUACACAAGAUUGAGUAAGGAGUGUGUAUUUUUUAAUAAAAAUUUAAUUGUAUUUUUUCAACAUUAAUAUUUUAAAGUUUUAUUUGUCCUGGAACCUGAUGUAUCUAUUAUUGUUUUCUACUGACAGAAACAGAUGGUUCCAUCUGUUUGUUUGUUUUUUGUCAUUUCACUCUUAUGGAAGGGAGGGAAUCUUGAGUUGCAUGCUUUUUGGUAUUUUUGAAAGAGAUAUGAAGAGCACACAAGUAGGCAUUCUGGAGCAUGAGGGCUUUUUGGUUUUGUUUCUGUUUUUAUUUUUAAAGAUUUUGUUUAUUUAUUUGAGAGCAAGCAAGAGAGUGCCCAAGCAGGGGGAGCGGCAGGCAGAGGGAGAGGGUCAAGCAGACUCUUCUACUGACAGGGAGCCCAAUGCGGGGAUCCAUCCCAGGACCCUGGGAUCAUGAUCUGAGCUGAAGGCAGAUGCUUAACAGACUGAGCCACCAGGUGCCCCUGUUUUUGUUUUCUUAAAGAUUUAUUUAUUUGAAAGAGAGAGAGAGAGAGAGAGCAUGAGCAGAGGGAGGGGCAGAGGGAGAAGGAAACUCCCAUCUGAGUGAGGGGCUCGACUCAGGGCUCAAUCUCACAACCCUGAAAUCAUGACUUGAGCUGAAAGCAAAAGUUGGACUCUCAACCAACUGCACCACCCCCUCACAGGUGCCCCUUGGAGCGUGAGAUUUUAAGAGACCUUCAACAAGGAUGCCUGGGUGGCUCAGUGGUUGAGCAUCUGCCUUCAGCCCAGGGCAUGAUCCCAGAGUCUGCGGAUCGAGUCCCAUGUCGGGCUCCCUGCAUGGAGCCUGCCUCUCCCUCUGCCGGUGUCUCUGCCUCUCUCUCUCUCUCUCUCUCUCUGUGUGUGUGUGUGUGUCUCAUGAACAAAUAAAUAAAUAAAUAAAUCUUAAAAAAAAAAAAAA
rnacentral:lncRNA from 12 species